UACGUAGGGGGCGAGCGUUGUCCGGAUUUACUGGGCGUAAAGCGUACGCAGGCGGUCUGCUAAGUUUGGAGUGACAGUUGGUGGCUUAACUGCCAAAGUGCUUCGAAAACUGACAGACUUGAGGGCUUCAGAGGGACACGGAAUUCCGGGUGGAGUGGUGAAAUGCGUAGAGAUCCGGAGGAACACCAGUGGCGAAGGCGAGUCCCUGGACAACACCUGACACUGAGGCACGAAAGCUAGGGGAGCAAACAGG
rnacentral:rRNA from 1 species